rnacentral:rRNA from 1 species
AACGCGAAGAACCUUACCUGGGCUCGAACGGCUUCGGACCAUCCUUGGAAACAGGGACUUCCCGCAAGGGACUGGAGUCGAGGUGCUGCAUGGCUGUCGUCAGCUCGUGUCGUGAGAUGUUGGGUUAAGUCCCGCAACGAGCGCAACCCUCACCUUCAGUUGCCAUCAGGUUAAGCUGGGCACUCUGAAGGAACUGCCGGUGACAAGCCGGAGGAAGGCGGGGAUGACGUCAAGUCCUCAUGGCCUUUAUGGGCUGGGCUACACACGUGCUACAAUGGCGGUGACAGUGGGACGCGAAGGGGCAACCCUUGGCCAAUCUCAAAAAGCCGUCUCAGUUCGGAUUGUCCUCUGCAACUCGAGGGCAUGAAGCUGGAAUCGCUAGUAAUCGCGGAUCAGCACGCCGCGGUGAAUACGUUCCCGGGCCUUGUACACACCGCGAUA